UAACACGUGGGUAACCUGCCCAAGAGACUGGGAUAACACCUGGAAACAGAUGCUAAUACCGGAUAACAACACUAGACGCAUGUCUAGAGUUUGAAAGAUGGUUCUGCUAUCACUCUUGGAUGGACCUGCGGUGCAUUAGCUAGUUGGUAAGGUAACGGCUUACCAAGGCAAUGAUGCAUAGCCGAGUUGAGAGACUGAUCGGCCACAUUGGGACUGAGACACGGCCCAAACUCCUACGGGAGGCAGCAGUAGGGAAUCUUCCACAAUGGACGAAAGUCUGAUGGAGCAACGCCGCGUGAGUGAAGAAGGGUUUCGGCUCGUAAAGCUCUGUUGGUAGUGAAGAAAGAUAGAGGUAGUAACUGGCCUUUAUUUGACGGUAAUUACUUAGAAAGUCACGGCUAACUACGUGCCAGCAGCCGCGGUAAUACGUAGGUGGCAAGCGUUGUCCGGAUUUAUUGGGCGUAAAGCGAGUGCAGGCGGUUCAAUAAGUCUGAUGUGAAAGCCUUCGGCUCAACCGGAGAAUUGCAUCAGAAACUGUUGAACUUGAGUGCAGAAGAGGAGAGUGGAACUCCAUGUGUAGCGGUGGAAUGCGUAGAUAUAUGGAAGAACACCAGUGGCGAAGGCGGCUCUCUGGUCUGCAACUGACGCUGAGGCUCGAAAGCAUGGGUAGCGAACAGGAUUAGAUACCCUGGUAGUCCAUGCCGUAAACGAUG
rnacentral:rRNA from 1 species